rnacentral:rRNA from 1 species
CUUCGGUGGAUUUGAUUUAUUUCUAGUGGCGGACGGGUGAGUAACGCGUGGGUAACCUGCCUUAUACAGGGGGAUAACAGUCAGAAAUGGCUGCUAAUACCGCAUAAGCGCACAGAGCUGCAUGGCUCAGUGUGAAAAACUCCGGUGGUAUAAGAUGGACCCGCGUUGGAUUAGCUUGUUGGUGGGGUAACGGCCCACCAAGGCGACGAUCCAUAGCCGGCCUGAGAGGGUGAACGGCCACAUUGGGACUGAGACACGGCCCAGACUCCUACGGGAGGCAGCAGUGGGGAAUAUUGCACAAUGGGGGAAACCCUGAUGCAGCGACGCCGCGUGAAGGAAGAAGUAUCUCGGUAUGUAAACUUCUAUCAGCAGGGAAGAUAGUGACGGUACCUGACUAAGAAGCCCCGGCUAACUACGUGCCAGCAGCCGCGGUAAUACGUAGGGGGCAAGCGUUAUCCGGAUUUACUGGGUGUAAAGGGAGCGUAGACGGUGUGGCAAGUCUGAUGUGAAAGGCAUGGGCUCAACCUGUGGACUGCAUUGGAAACUGUCAUACUUGAGUGCCGGAGGGGUAAGCGGAAUUCCUAGUGUAGCGGUGAAAUGCGUAGAUAUUAGGAGGAACACCAGUGGCGAAGGCGGCUUACUGG